GACGAACGCUGGCGGCGUGGAUUAGGCAUGCAAGUCGAACGGUAUCAUCCUUUCGGGGGUGAGAGAGUGGCGAACUGGUGAGUAACACGUAGGUUAUCUACCCUCAAGACGGGGACAACCCAGGGAAACUUGGGCUAAUACCGGAUGUGAGCAACUUUUAGUUGUUUGAAAGGUGGCGUAAGCUGUCGCUUGGGGAUGAGCCUGCGUCCUAUUAGUUAGUUGGUGAGGUAACGGCUCACCUAGGCAAUGAUAGGUAGGCGGCCUUAACGGGUGGUCGCCCACACUGGGAUUGAGAUACGGCCCAGACUCCUACGGGAGGCAGCAGUCGAGAAUAGUCUACAAUGGUCGGAAGACUGAUAGUGCGACGCCGCGUGAACGAUGAAUCCCUUCGGGGUGUAAAGUUCUUUUAUAUGUGAGCAGUGCUUCUUAUAUUAACAGUAUGGGGAGAGAGAUAUUAGCAUAUGAAUAAGCACGGCUAACUCCGUGCCAGCAGCCGCGGUAAACA
rnacentral:rRNA from 1 species